UUAAAUUGAAGAGUUUGAUCAUGGCUCAGAUUGAACGCUGGCGGCAGGCCUAACACAUGCAAGUCGAACGGUAACAGGAAGCAGCUUGCUGCUUUGCUGACGAGUGGCGGACGGGUGAGUAAUGUCUGGGAAGCUGCCUGAUGGAGGGGGAUAACUACUGGAAACGGUAGCUAAUACCGCAUAACGUCGCAAGACCAAAGAGGGGGACCUUCGGGCCUCUUGCCAUCGGAUGUGCCCAGAUGGGAUUAGCUAGUAGGUGGGGUAACGGCUCACCUAGGCGACGAUCCCUAGCUGGUCUGAGAGGAUGACCAGCCACACUGGAACUGAGACACGGUCCAGACUCCUACGGGAGGCAGCAGUGGGGAAUAUUGCACAAUGGGCGCAAGCCUGAUGCAGCCAUGCCGCGUGUAUGAAGAAGGCCUUCGGGUUGUAAAGUACUUUCAGCGGGGAGGAAGGGAGUAAAGUUAAUACCUUUGCUCAUUGACGUUACCCGCAGAAGAAGCACCGGCU
rnacentral:rRNA from 1 species